GAGGUACUAGUAAAAAGAUUACACCGCCUUGUCAAGGCGUAAUUGUAGGUUAGACUCCUGCGUACCUCC
rnacentral:tRNA from 1 species